rnacentral:rRNA from 1 species
GACCUCAAAUCAGGUAGGAUUACCCGCUGAACUUAAGCAUAUCAU